CCUACGGGUGGCAGCAGUGGGGAAUAUUGCACAAUGGGCGCAAGCCUGAUGCAGCCAUGCCGCGUGUGUGAAGAAGGCCUUCGGGUUGUAAAGCACUUUCAGCGGGGAGGAAGGCGGUGAGGUUAAUAACCUCGGCGAUUGACGUUACCCGCAGAAGAAGCACCGGCUAACUCCGUGCCAGCAGCCGCGGUAAUACGGAGGGUGCAAGCGUUAAUCGGAAUUACUGGGCGUAAAGCGCACGCAGGCGGUCUGUCAAGUCGGAUGUGAAAUCCCCGGGCUCAACCUGGGAACUGCAUUCGAAACUGGCAGGCUAGAGUCUUGUAGAGGGGGGUAGAAUUCCAGGUGUAGCGGUGAAAUGCGUAGAGAUCUGGAGGAAUACCGGUGGCGAAGGCGGCCCCCUGGACAGAGACUGACGCUCAGGUGCGAAAGCGUGGGGAGCAAACAGGAUUAGAUACCCGGGUAGUC
rnacentral:rRNA from 1 species